rnacentral:lncRNA from 1 species
UUCCAUCAACACUUAUAUACCAGUUAAAAAGCAUGAUCCAAUGGUCUUAGUAGUAAACAACUCGGAUAGAAGCAUAGGCUAAUGUGAGGCAGUUACACAUGCCGCAAAAGCAUCCUAAAGACGGAUGUUUUUCACGCAAGCUAUAUUAGUAGAGAAACUAUUGCUCAGCUUUGUAAAUCGUAACCAGAAAAAGGAAAGAGAAGCCUAUGAAAAAUUGCACAGGAGCACAUAUUAACAGAAGGAAAAUCCGACUAAAAUAUAAAAUCCUAUAACUUAGUCCUAGAAUCCUUUCGUAUAAGGAGUGAAGAAAUGUUUGUAGUCUCAAGAGCCUCGUCGGUACGAAAUCUUUCAACUAUUUUGUUACCCGUGUCAAUAUCCCUCAGUUCCAGCGGCUGCAAUCAAGAGUCAAGAAUAAAUCAGAUUGGUAAUAAAACAAAUGACAAAUUUAAGCUCCAGUUAAGUCAAGCAUAUAUAAAAAAACAUGCCCCUGAACUUAAUUUUCGUCAUUUGGGGGAUGUAUAGCAUGGAACUGCAGAUAUGCCAAUGGGGAGUUCUAAUUCAGAGCAUCCCUGAAUAAAGAGUGUGCAGUAAGAAAUGAUAGCAGUAUUUAUACUCAGGGUCGCCGGAGACAUGCAUCGAAGGAAAUAUGUGCAUUGCACCACCAUAUUUCUUGGCUGACUCAACCAAGUCACAUACUUUCUCCUGCUACCGACGUCUGUGUUACUACAAGGGGAAGAAAAAAGUUCAACUAUUACCACUCCACUUUCAGUAUAUAUACGGUGCCAACAACUUGGCAUAGAACCUAAUGUUUUUCUGUGAGUUCAUGGAUCGGCCAUUGGGAGAAUAUUACAGGGUGGAGGCAUAAGGAGAAUAAUCAAAUAGCAAGACUGUACAAGAAAAUAUGCUGCAACUUGCAACUCAUGAAAUUCUGUUUAAAUUUAUAGGUCAUAUUUGAUGCAUAGGAAGCACAGGUAAAUACAGAAGUUCAGCUUCAAGCCACUCAUCAAAUAUGGGGGACCUCCCUUGCUAUGCCCAGACCAACAAAAAUUGAACUGUCGAUACAACCGGACUGACAAAAUGAACUAUUGAAAGGGAAACCUACUAUUUUUUUUGCAGAACAUUUUCAAUUUGACAAUGCAAAAAGUAGUAAACACCACAAGAUGUGAUUUUUUUCCCAUUCCUCAAUCGAGAGUAACGAUCAACAACCAGCUCAUGUUGCAAAUAUAUUUCAAUUGAACAAAGCAGGCUACAUCCAGCAAUAACUUGACCUAAGUUUCUACUUGUGACCUUUUAUAGUGGUUGUUUAUGCCAUGAACAAUAAGGAGUGGAAAUUAAUAUAUCCCGAACCAAUAUUUCGAAAUUUGUAGAGGCCAAGUAAUUCAUUAAUCUAAUGUUUCCUGGUGAGACACACCAUUCAUCCAUAGCAGGUUAGGCAAGCAAGCUUAACUAACCUACUGCAAUGGCCACUGCUGCACCACGAGCGUCGGGGAAGACGUCCAGGGAAGAAGGCGGCGGCGCGAGAGGCCGUGGGGCCGGAGGGUCGAGGAGCGGGGGAGGCUGGAGAUGCUGAACGGCGCGGACUCGAAUGGGGCUCGAGGAAGGGAAGGAUUGAUCCUUUGUGCGCUAGGUUUUCGGGACGCAUUAGUGCCUUUCGUGCUGGACAAAAUAACUUGCAAAUCAAAAUCUGUAUAACUUUACUCCUGAACCUGGCCAACAUUAAUUAGCAUGGCCCCUUUUGCUCAUAUUUGUACAUUUAGUCGGCAAACCUUUCCGAAAUUGUAUCUGAAAGAAGCUGCUACUGUCUUUUGCUUGUUCUCGCAAAGAAUUAAAUCCAUAGUAUGCCAAGAAGCUAUGAAAAUUUUGCAAUUGCUUCAAAGAAUAUAAUACAUUGCAGAAAUAAAAUACUCUAUCAGAGAGUUGGCAGGCGAGGUAGUAGGAACAAGAGCAAGAACUAACUUUGAGAGGAGAUGGGCAGACUCUUGCAUCGUGCCCUGGCUGACACCUACGCUUACGCCAUGCCUCAUGUAUCCAUUCCUCAUUCCUCUGUG